AUUGAACGCUGGCGGCAGGCCUAACACAUGCAAGUCGAACGAGUGGCGGACGGGUGAGUAAUGUCUUGGAAACUGCCUGAUGGAGGGGGAUAACUACUGGAAACGGUGGCUAAUACCGCAUACCAUCGGAUGUGCCCAGAUGGGAUUAGCUAGUAGGUGGGUUAACGGCUAACCUAGGCGACGAUCCCUAGCUGGUCUGAGAGGAUGAGCAGCCACACUGGAACUGAGACACGGUCCAGACUCCUACGGGAGGCAGCAGUGGGGAAUAUUGCGCAAUGGGCGCAAGCCUGAUCCAGCAAUGCCGCGUGUAUGAAGAAGGCCUUCGGGGUGUAAAGUACUUUCAGCGGGGAGGCGUUAUCCAAAGAAGAAGCACCGGCUAACUCCGUGCCAGCAGCCGCGGUAAUAC
rnacentral:rRNA from 1 species